UCUCCGUAGGUGAACCUGCGGAGGGAUCAUUACUGAGUGAGGGUCUCCGGGCCCGACCUCCAACCCUUUGUGAACCAAACUUGUUGCUUCGGGGGCGACCCUGCCGUUCGCGGCGUGGGGCCCCCGGAGCCCAUCAAACCCUGCAUCGUUGCGUCUGAGUCGAAAUAUAAAUCAAUCAAAACUUUCAACAACGGAUCUCUUGGUUCUGGCAUCGAUGAAGAACGCAGC
rnacentral:misc_RNA from 1 species